GUGCUGUUGAAAGGAGAGGUUAGCAGUACCCUUGAUGAGGAAGGAAGAGGUCCUAGUGAUCUUAUAACACAUAGGCAGUCAAGGCAUUGCCAUUGCCACCUACUGUCUGGCAUCUAACCAUUUGUUUUA